CAGUGGGCUCAGCUGGGAGCAGUUGGAAUUACCCUCAGGUGCAGCUGUGGCCCGGGGGUGGAGUCAGAGGCCUCUCAUGGGUUUUUCUUCCCCUGGAACACCUGAGAUGGUGCCUGUCCAGCUGCAUAACAUUAGUUUCCAUCACCACAGGUAAGAGCUUUACUGCCACAUGCUUUCUGACUCCCCCUCCAGUGUGCCCAGGGAGCCAAAGUGUGACUUGGAAAAUGCAAAAACCCUCGGAUUUGUGGAGCAGCAGUGAGAUGGGAGGGUGCAGGUGUGCUCCACAGUCUGCCCAACUCCUGCACAAGCAGUUGUGUCCUUCACUGGCAUCCGAGUCCUGUCGUUCCAAGGCAGGAUGCCAAAAAUACAGCCAAGAUGACCAGCCCUGCUCCGUGGGACCCUGGGGGGAUCAGAAAGAGCAGAAAUGACGGAGAAGUGACGGAGUGGCGGCUGCGCGGGAGCCAGCGCCGGCCCGUGGGAGCCUGCUCCAGCCUGCUCCAGCCUGCUCCAGCCUGCUCCUGCUAAUUCCAGCCGUUGCCGUGGAGAAUUCACAAUUUUCAAAAAACCUUAUAUCACCUCUUUCAACAAAAAAAAGCACUUAUAGAAAAAAAGGACGCGC